CGGGUGAGGAGGUGUUGUGGUGUUUAGAGACAACGGGUGAGGAGGUGUUGUGGUGUUUAGAGACAACUGGUGAGGAGGUGUUGUGUUGUUUAGAGACAACGGGUGAGGAGGUGUUGUGGUGUUUAGAGACAACGGGUGAGGAGGUGUUGUGGUGUUUAGAGACAACGGGUGAGGAGGUGUUGUGGUGUUUAGAGACAACUGGUGAGGAGGUGUUGUGGUGUUUAGAGACAACGGGUGAGGAGGUGUUGUGGUGUUUAGAGACAACUGGUGAGGAGGUGUUGUGGUGUUUAGAGACAACGGGUGAGGAGGUGUUGUGGUGUUUAGAGACAACG